GGUAUGCGCAAGGAACGAAGCUGGAAGAGAGUACAAAUAAAGAAAGAUGGUGGUAAAUAGUUGAGUAGCAGAGGCCCUAAGCGGGUUGUGAAAGUUUAAGAAAAAUAAGUAUAUUGUUUUAGAUUCUAACUGCAGCGAAGAAGUUAUGCGUAUCUAUCUCGUAUAUUAGUUUUACUAUUCGUUGUGUUUCUGUUUUGUCCUUGGAGUACACUUUUCGCUAGUAAAAAUGCUCCAUGAAUACCGUAUUUUAAAAGAUGCCAAUUUUUCGCCC